GACGAACGCUGGCGGCGCGCUUAACACAUGCAAGUCGAACGGAAAGGCCUGCUUUCCCUUGUGGAUUGCGGGUACUCGAGUGGCGAACGGGUGAGUAACACGUGAGUGAUCUGCCCCCAACUUGGGUAUAAGCCUGGGAAACUGGGUCUAAUUCCCGAUAGGACUGCAGGGUGGUGCCUGUGGUGGAAAACGAUUUUUUAGUGGUUGGGGAUGAGCUCGCGGCCUAUCAGCUUGUUGGGGGGGUAAUGGACGACCAAGGCGGCGACGGGUAGCCAGCCUGGGAGGGUGGACGGCCACAUUGGGACUGGGAUACGGCCCAGACUCCUGCGGGAGGCAGCAGUGGGGAAGAAUGCACCAUGGGCGGAAGCCUGAUGCAGCGACGCCGCGUGGAAGAUGACGGCCUUCGGGUUGUAAACUACUUUCGACCGAGAGGAAGCCACCUGGUUGGAAGGGUGGUGACGGUAGUGGUAGAAGAAGCACCGGCUAACUACGUG
rnacentral:rRNA from 1 species